AUCCAACUGAUGAGUUCCGGCAAGGACGAAACGUGCGUCCUGAAU
rfam:Schistosoma haematobium scaffold15_41, whole genome shotgun sequence.